rnacentral:rRNA from 2 species
AGCGGAAUGAUGAAGAAGCUUGCUUCUUCUGAUUUUAGCGGCGGACGGGUGAGUAACACGUGGGCAACCUACCUUGUAGAUUGGGAUAACUCCGGGAAACCGGGGCUAAUACCGAAUAAUCCAUUUUGCUUCAUGGCAAGAUGUUGAAAGGCGGCUUCGGCUGUCACUACGAGAUGGGCCCGCGGCGUAUUAGCUAGUUGGUAGGGUAAUGGCCUACCAAGGCGACGAUACGUAGCCGACCUGAGAGGGUGAUCGGCCACACUGGGACUGAGACACGGCCCAGACUCCUACGGGAGGCAGCAGUAGGGAAUCUUCCACAAUGGACGAAAGUCUGAUGGAGCAACGCCGCGUGAGUGAAGAAGGUUUUCGGAUCGUAAAACUCUGUUGUAAGGGAAGAACACGUACGAGAGUAACUGCUCGUACCUUGACGGUACCUUAUUAGAAAGCCACGGCUAACUACGUGCCAGCAGCCGCGGUAAUACGUAGGUGGCAAGCGUUGUCCGGAAUUAUUGGGCGUAAAGCGCGCGCAGGCGGUUCUUUAAGUCUGAUGUGAAAGCCCACGGCUCAACCGUGGAGGGUCAUUGGAAACUGGAGAACUUGAGUACAGAAGAGGAAAGCGGAAUUCCACGUGUAGCGGUGAAAUGCGUAGAGAUGUGGAGGAACACCAGUGGCGAAGGCGGCUUUCUGGUCUGUAACUGACGCUGAGGCGCGAAAGCGUGGGGAGCAAACAGGAUUA